rnacentral:rRNA from 1 species
AUGGUAGGCGUCAACGGCAAUGUGCAAAAGGGCCUCGCAUCUCUCGUCAUGUUGGCUUCAUGGGAGAUUUGGAACAAGUGGAAUGCGAGAGUAUUUAGGAAGGUGUCCUCCAUACCAAAUGUAAUCACGUCUAGAAUCAAGGCGGAGGUCAGACUUUGGGGGUUGGCAGGGGCCAAACGUCCGAGUUCUCUUAUGCCUCGAGAGUAG